rnacentral:rRNA from 1 species
AGAACGAACGCUGGCGGCGUGGAUAAGACAUGCAAGUCGAACGCUUGUUAUAGGGUAGCAAUAUUCUGUAGCAGGAGUGGCGGAAGGGUGCGUAACAUGUGGGUAAUCUGCCGUGAAGGCUGGGAUAACUUGCUGAAAGGCGAGCUAAUACCGGAUGAGAUAACUAAGAGGCAGCUUUUGGUUAUGAAAGUUGGGGACUGUAAAAGGCCUGACGCUUCAUGAUGAGCCCGCAACCUAUCAGCUAGUUGGUGAGGUAAAGGCUCACCAAGGCUAAGACGGGUAGCGUGGUCUGAGAGGACGACCAGCCACACUGGAACUGAGAGACGGUCCAGACACUACGGGUGCAGCAGUCGAGUAAUUUUCACAAUGGCGACAAGCCUAGAUGGAGCGACCGCCGCGGUGGGAGUGGAAGGGUCGUUCGGUACCCGUAAACCCGUGU